CUUAAAAGGAGAAAAUAUAUAUUUUUUAAGUUGGAUCAAAUGCCUAUCAAAUAUUGUCAAGCGCGUUAUUCACGGGGAUAAAAGGGCAGAUUUCAGCUCGUGUGUGAUGUCCUCACGGAAGAACAGAACUGAAGAUUAACUAACUUCACUCAUCACCAAUGGUUAUUUGGCUAAGUUGGCAGAGAACAAACAUUAUGGAGCUAGACUGCAACUCACCACCGUCUUCACAUGAAAUCAGACUCCUUAAAUAUCAUUACCAAUUGUAAAUAUAUGCCAUUACUUCUUUCAUGCUAAAUAUAUUCUUCAUUGAACAGUAAUUAAAAUUGAUGCCUUCAGGGAAAUA